AGUUUGGUUGGUGGCUGGUCAAAAACAUGUAGGGUGGGGUUCUGCCAGGAGAAUUUGUACUUUCUCUGAAUAUUCUCUGUAUUUCUAAAAUCCUAGCUUUUCUUUUGAACUUGAACCUCUUCUGCAUUUAAAUUUCUGAUAAGUUUAAGCAGAUUUUUGCCUCAUUUCACUAAAUAGUUUGUUCAUUUUUGUAUGUGAUGUUCAGGUUUUUUUAAAUUGUGCCACGCAGGCUUUAAAGGUCAUAUCCCUGCGUGACAACGGCUUUACAGGGAGUGUAUGUUUCUCACUUAGAAUCUGCAAAACAAAUAUUGUCAUUAAAGAUUUUAGUCCUUCACCACUGUCAGUAAACAGUCAUACCUUCGUGCCCUCUGUCCCUGCUCCUUCAUUCUGUCUCUCUUUCUGUUGGUCGGUGUGCUUGAUUGCAGGAGUGGGUUCAGGUGUGCUGGAGUUGGCAGCUGCCUGUAAUCAUCCUCCUCCUCUGCUUCACAUGCUGGGCCUCCACAUCUCCACGCUGCCAGAUCUCCUUGUUCGUGUCCCGCCUCAGUCCCGCUUCUGCCCAGCAAAUCCUCCUUUGGACUGGCUCACCUGGCUCUGCUCCCUGGUCCGAACCCCUCUCCCUGCUUCCUGUUGUGGCAAUAAACUCUGGUACUUAGGUUCCGUCUUUGGUCUCUGUGUUCUGCCUUUGGGUUCACUGCAUAUAGCAUUUGGGACAAAUGCAGAGAGAUAUGACUACUGAUUGUGAAUCCACUGAAUAAUUAUUGCUAAAUAAAAUCAAAUGUAGUUUGAUUUCAUGAAAAUCUAAAGGAUCAUAA